rnacentral:rRNA from 1 species
GUGGGGAAUUUUGGACAAUGGACGCAAGUCUGAUCCAGCAAUGCCGCGUGCGGGAAGAAGGCCUUCGGGUUGUAAACCGCUUUUGUUAGGGAAGAAAUCUUCUGGGUUAAUACCUCGGGAGGAUGACGGUACCUAAAGAAUAAGCACCGGCUAACUACGUGCCAGCAGCCGCGGUAAUACGUAGGGUGCAAGCGUUAAUCGGAAUUACUGGGCGUAAAGCGUGCGCAGGCGGUUAUGCAAGACAGGUGUGAAAUCCCCGAGCUCAACUUGGGAAUUGCACUUGUGACUGCAUAGCUAGAGUACGGUAGAGGGGAGUGGAAUUCCGCGUGUAGCAGUGAAAUGCGUAGAUAUGCGGAGGAACACCGAUGGCGAAGGCAGCUCCCUGGACCUGUACUGACGCUCAUGCACGAAAGCGUGGGGAGCAAACAGGAUUAGAAACCCCAGUAGUCC